rnacentral:lncRNA from 1 species
GCCAGAGUAGGGAUGAAUAGUAGAAAAGAUUUCUACUGAUUCAUCAAUCGAGUUAUCAUCAUCAAAUCGAGAUACAUAUUGAUAGAUAUUUGGGUUUGACAUAUUUUCAUACCCAUGGCCUUUCCAGAAUGUUGUGUGAUCGAAAGAUUAAAUAGCACGAUAACUCACCACGAAAGAAUAAUUUUGAUAUUUUAACCAAAUUCUAAAUCUUUCAUGUAGUUAUGACAC